GGGGGUAUAGCUCAGCUGGGAGAGCGCUUGCAUGGCAUGCAAGAGGUCCGCGGUUCGAUCCCGCGUAGCUCCACCA
rnacentral:tRNA from 1 species